CCUCACCGAUGUCCGCUGCUACCCGUCUCCUCCGUCCGCCGACGCCCACGACUCGAAGCCCGACGUCCUCGGCCCUAGCCGCGAAUCGCGCAAGCCGAACCCCCGCUUGCUGUCCCCGAGAAGCACCCGACGCCUUUGUGGCUCCGCCUUGACCGCCCGUUGCAGCAACCUGCACUAACCCCAUCUGCUCCGCCUGCAACUGUACCACCGCCCAGUAGCCCGAGGCGCUGCUGCUGUUCUCCGCCAGACGACCCAACGCCGUUGUCUCCUGCUCGCCUGUCACCGCGCCAGAGUGCCGCUCGAUUCGAGCACCCCUGCGCCGGAGCCUGACAUCGCCGCCACGCCUGCAUCAGCCACGCAUUCGGCCGCUCACCACCGCGCGUCCGUUCUUCGCCAGCCCAGCCGGAGCCGCGCCACCGCGACACCAGCCGCCUCCACGACCCGAGCGCCCCAGUUCCGCCUCUGCCGUCGCCGAUCUGUAGCACUGGAGACCACACCGCCGCUGCUCGCCUCCGCCCAACACUCAGCCGCCGCCGCGCUGCUGUCCCUGCCGCGAACCAACGCCAACCGAGCCUCCCCCGCCGCUGCUCGCCGUCGCCUUGCUUCGCCGGAGUCCCUCGCCGGUAGCUACCCUUGCUGCUCUCGCCGGAGUCCGUUGCUGGCGAAUCCCCUUACCGGAGCAACCAUCAUCUUUACUUGGAAAAAAAAAGGAAAAAAUAAAACACAUUA
rnacentral:lncRNA from 1 species